ensembl:snRNA U6 U6 spliceosomal RNA
GUGGUUGUUUCAGCAGCACCUGAACUAAAGUUGAAAUGAUAAGCAGAUUAGCAUGGCCCUUGUGUAAGGAUGACACAUUGGUGAAACGUUCUGCAUUUAG